UCUCUAACAAUGUCGGUCUGGGCACCAUACCUUACGGCGAGCUCUACUCCGGCCGGCUGCCGAUUCCCACGGCUUACCGCCCGCCAAGGACGACGGCAAUCUCUUACUCAGCCGUAGCCACCAUCUGAUCGGGCUGUUUCCAUCACGUACCAGGGAAACCUGGCUCUUUCCAUUUUCGUCGCGGCUGGGUGGCGGCUACAAUAGUACCGAGAGCGGCGGCGUCUGGAGCACCAUGGGCUUCUCUAGACAGAGGGGCAGAUGUUCACGGGAUCGUUCGCAGCAACAGACUUAGGUGAGGCUGGAUCUAGAUGCGGCGCAACUUCAGAUCUCCGCGAACGAUGCUACAAUCUCUUGCUGAUAUCCUACACUCGGACCAAUGGCCAAUCUUUCCCGCCAUAGCUUCGGGCAUCUUCACUUCUUAAGUGCCAGCAUUUUCCAUCACAAUGCAGCUAAAAAGUGAGUUUUUUGUAGAUUGAAAUGCUGAGUGAUUGCAGGUAUAACUUAGUUAAAUAGCACUUGUAUCCCAACCAACUUACUAGUUUGCUUGAAGAUCUGAUAUAUUCUAACCUCUUCUGAUGAGCUAAAAUAUGAGAUUUUAUAAAAAGUUCACCGAUUCUCACAAAAAUUUAAGGUGGAAUAUUUUACUUUGGAGUAUGCAGACUCUAGAAAGUUUUUGUUGUACUGAUGCAUCAAUUAUUACAGAUUUCUAACUUUUUCUGAAUUUCUGUGUCAAUUGGUUUUAUCUUCCAGUGACAAUGUCUAAUAUCAUCAUUGUAACUGCAUUGAAUCUAUUGUCCUUAGUACAUGACAUCCCUAUUUCCAUCUGACACGAUUUUACUAUUCUUUCCUUUCAAUUGGUUUGGUCGCAGGUAAUGCAUAUGCAUUUCUUCGGUUAUUAUCUGUAUUGACUGUGCCAUCGGUGCUCUUCGUCACGAACGUCGUGUGGUUGUCACAGAUUUUGGAAGGGGUGAAGAAAACACUAUCGAAAUGGCCGUGAUCGACUAGGCUUCCAGGGCAAGGACUAUCGACGGAACUUGUUCCCGCAGUGCUGCGUUGUGACCUUGAGGUGUAAAAUUAUGAAUAUAUAUCAGCUUAACUAUUGAAAGUGAAUAGUAAAAUACUAGAAAAAGUUAGAUUAGGUCAAAGCGCACUAUUUUUCAGUGAGCAGGAAUUUGCUAGCCAGUUUGACAUG